AUUGAACGCUGGCGGCAGGCCUAACACAUGCAAGUCGAACGGUAACAGGAAGAAGCUUGCUUCUUUGCUGACGAGUGGCGGACGGGUGAGUAAUGUCUGGGAAACUGCCUGAUGGAGGGGGAUAACUACUGGAAACGGUAGCUAAUACCGCAUAAUGUCGCAAGACCAAAGAGGGGGACCUUCGGGCCUCUUGCCAUCGGAUGUGCCCAGAUGGGAUUAGCUAGUAGGUGGGGUAACGGCUCACCUAGGCGACGAUCCCUAGCUGGUCUGAGAGGAUGACCAGCCACACUGGAACUGAGACACGGUCCAUACUCCUACGGGAGGCAGCAGUGGGGAAUAUUGCACAAUGGGCGCAAGCCCGAUGCAGCUAUGCCGCGUGUAUGAAGAAGGCCUUCGGGUUGUAAAGUACUUUCAGCGGGGAGGAAGGGAGUAAAGUUAAUACCUUUGCUCAUUGACGUUACCCGCAGAAGAAGCGCCGGCUAACUCCGUG
rnacentral:rRNA from 1 species